UCGCCCGCUUCCCCUCCCUGAGCGGGUUAUCCUUUUAACCCGGCCACCCUUGGCCGGGUUUUUUUU
rnacentral:ncRNA from 1 species